AGGCACAUAAAUUAGGCAAAAACCGUAAAACCCUCACAUACGCACAGAAAUGGCGACUGCAGCGGCCGCAGCUCGAUCUGCUUUCCGAUCAACUUCUCUCCGUAACGUGGCGGCGAGGGCAGCAUCCCAGCCCAAAGCUGCGCCCUCUGCGUUUCGCAUCCCUAGUCGGAAUUCUCUAUCUCAACGCAUUUUCCGUUGUCCAGUAGAAAUGAGUGCUUGUUUGGAGUCAAUGCAACCUUUCCACACUGCUACUGCUUCGGCCUUGAUGACAUCCAUGCUUACCCUUUCUCAAAACGGCUAUGGUUGGCUCCCCGAAGGUAUCUAACGAAGCUUCAUAGGUCCCUCAAUGUUGUUACCUCUUACCUCAUGAGUUUUAGGCGUUGACAAGACGAGAUGAAGAUGGAGAGAAGCAAAGAUGGAAUGAGUUGGACUUGUCUUUUUUUUUUUUUUUUUUUUGAGUAGGGAACAUUUAGGUCCAUUAGAGUUAUAUUUCUUGAACCAAUAAUGAAAUAUAAACUUUUGAAAUGAGUUUACUAGUUUGAUAUUGUGUUGAAUUUUAUGACAUGGCUCACAUUGAUAUUGUAGUUUUCAAAUUCAAGUA